CCGGUACGAGGGCUGCCGGCGCAGCUCCGGAGCGUCUAGAGCGCCGCGCGGGCAGGAUCUUGCUGGACCAGGAGCGGCAGCGCAUCCUCCUGCGACUCCGGGGCCAGACGCCCACUCCAGCGCUUUCUGCGCAGCACAGGCACCCUCGCCUGUCACGCCUCCCUCUCCUCUUCCCGUCUCCCAGCGUGGAUGAGGGCGCUUGCAGAUCCCGGCUGGGGCACUGGCCGCCUAGGCCGAGAUUUCUUUAAAGCCUCAUGGAACACAUCAUCAUCGCUGGAUGCCCGGACACUUAACGCACCUGACAGCAGGCGAAGUGCUCAGAAUGGGACAGGAUGUCACCUGGAAUCAGCACUAAGUGAUUCAGACUGUCCUUACUUUUAAAUGUGCUGUUCUUCAUUUCAAGAUGCCGUUGCAGCUCUGAUAAAUGCAAACUGACAACCUUCAAGGUCACAACGGAGGAAAAAAUCACUGGUGCUUGAAGCAUAGAAGACUGCCCUUCACAACGAAA
rnacentral:lncRNA from 1 species